CAGUCAUGCCGGUGAGAAUCAACUUUGGGGAAAGGGGAUUUUUUUGAACCUAACCUUGAAGUGCACUUCUUCGCUUGGCAGGUUAGCGUCGAUUUUGAACGUCAUAAAAUGAUUGGGGGAAGGUAGCUCUUUCGGGAGUGUUAUAGCCCUUAAUUAAUGUGAUAUUUGGGAUCGAGGAUUGCAACGGAUACCUUUUUAGGCUAGCCGCCUAGCCUCUGAUUCGAUGUCGGAUUAUAGACAGCACGCUGACUAUGAUCUGAUUAUUGGUCAAAAGGUUAGAGUGAGCAUAAA
rnacentral:rRNA from 1 species